GAUGAACGCUAGCGGCAGGCCUAACACAUGCAAGUCGAGGGGUAGCAGGAUUAAGCUUGCUUAAUUGCUGACGACCGGCGCACGGGUGCGUAACGCGUAUGCAACCUACCUUAUACUGGGGUAUAGCCCGGAGAAAUUCGGGUUAAUCCCCCAUAGUACUAAUGAAUCGCAUGGUUUAUUAGUUAAAGCAUUGCGGUAUAAGAUGGGCAUGCGUCCUAUUAGCUAGAUGGUGAGGUAACGGCUCACCAUGGCUACGAUAGGUAGGGGGCCUGAGAGGGUGGUCCCCCACACUGGUACUGAGAUACGGACCAGACUCCUACGGGAGGCAGCAGUGAGGAAUAUUGGUCAAUGGGCGCAAGCCUGAACCAGCCAUGCCGCGUGCAGGAAGAAUGCCCUAUGGGUUGUAAACUGCUUUUAUUUGGGAAUAAACCUCUUUACGUGUAGAGAGCUGAAGGUACCAAAUGAAUAAGCACCGGCUAACUCCGUGCCAGCAGCCGCCGUAA
rnacentral:rRNA from 1 species